CCUACGGGGCGCAGCAGUGAGGAAUAUUGGUCAAUGGACGAGAGUCUGAACCAGCCAAGUAGCGUGAAGGAUGACUGCCCUAUGGGUUGUAAACUUCUUUUAUAUGGGAAUAAAACGUUCCACGUGUGGGAUUUUGUAUGUACCAUAUGAAUCCGGAUCGGCCAACUCUGCGACAGCAGCCGCGGUAAUACGGAGGUUCCGAGCGUUAUCCGGAUUUAUUGGGUUUAAGGGGAGCGUAGUUGGAUUGGUAAGUCAGUUGUGAAAGUUUGCGGCUUAACCGUAGAAUUGCAGUGGAAACUGGCAGUCUUGAGUACAGGAGAGGUAUGCGGAAUUCGUGGUGUAGCGGUGAAAUGCUUAGAUAUCACGAAGAACUCCGAUUGCGAAGGCAGUUCACUGGACUGCAACUGACACUGAGGCUCGAAAGUGUGGGUAGCAAACAGGAUUAGAUACCCUUGUAGUC
rnacentral:rRNA from 1 species